rnacentral:rRNA from 1 species
GGUUACCUUGUUACGACUUACUCCCCCUUGCUGAACCGAAGUUCGAGCGCCCCGGAUGAGGCACCCUCACUCCGACCCAACUCGGAUGAGUUGACGGGCGGUGUGUGCAAAGAGCAGGGGCACAUUCACCGCGGGAUGUUGACCCGCGAUUACUACGGAAUCCAUUUUCACGAGGGCGAGUUACAGCCCUCGAUCCAGACUACGAUGGGGUUUCAGGAUUGCCUCCCCCUUUCGAGGUCGGGUCCCAUUGUCCCCACCUUUGUAGCGCGCGUGUUGCCCGGAAGAUUCGGGGCAUACGGACCUACCGUAGACCUCUCCUUCCUCUGCCUUAACGGCAGCGAUCCCGCUAGUGUGCUCCUACAAUCGCUUGUAAGAUCGCGACUAACGGCGAGGGUCUCGUUCGUUAUCUGACUUAACAGAACGCCUUACGGUACGAACUGACGACGGCCAUGCACCACCUCUCGGAGAAUCGGGCAAGGUCUUCAGCCUGGCUUUCAUCCCUCCGUCGCCUCCGGUGAGUUUUCCGGCGUUGAAUCCAAUUGAACCGCACGCUCCUCCCGUUGCGGUGCUCUCCCGCCAAUUCCUUUAAGUUUCAGUCUUGCGACCGUACUCCCCAAGCGGCAGACUCAACACCUUCGCUCCGGCUCUGGGGAGCCCACGCAGGACCCCCAACACCGAGUCUGCAGCGUUUACACCCUAUACUACCGGAGUAUCUAAUCUCGUU